rnacentral:rRNA from 1 species
GUUCUCAGUUCGGAUUGUAGGCUGCAACUCGCCUACAUGAAGUCGGAAUCGCUAGUAAUCGCGGAUCAGCAUGCCGCGGUGAAUACGUUCCCGGGCCUUGUACACACCGCCCGUCACACCAUGAGAGUUUGUAACACCCAAAGCCGGUGGGGUAACCUUUUGGAGCCAGCCGUCUAAGGUGGGACAGAUGAUUGGGGUGAAGUCGUAACAAGGUAAC